rfam:Myotis brandtii contig263613, whole genome shotgun sequence.
GAGACACCCCCCCUAUGGAGCAGGACUAGCUUCAGUGGGGCUUUGGUGCUCACUGAAUCUGUCCCUUGAGUGUGUCGCU